AACGAACGCUGGCGGCAUGCCUAAUACAUGCAAGUCGAACGAGACCUUCGGGUCUAGUGGCGCACGGGUGCGUAACGCGUGGGAAUCUGCCCUUGGGUUCGGAAUAACGUCGGGAAACUGACGCUAAUACCGGAUGAUGACGAAAGUCCAAAGAUUUAUCGCCCAGGGAUGAGCCCGCGUAGGAUUAGCUAGUUGGUGGGGUAAAGGCUCACCAAGGCUACGAUCCUUAGCUGGUCUGAGAGGAUGAUCAGCCACACUGGGACUGAGACACGGCCCAGACUCCUACGGGAGGCAGCAGUAGGGAAUAUUGGACAAUGGGGGCAACCCUGAUCCAGCAAUGCCGCGUGAGUGAUGAAGGCCUUAGGGUUGUAAAGCUCUUUUACCCGAGAUGAUAAUGACAGUAUCGGGAGAAUAAGCUCCGGCUAACUCCGUGCCAGCAGCCGCGGUAAUACGGAGGGAGCUAGCGUUGUUCGGAAUUACUGGGCGUAAAGCGCACGUAGGCGGCGAUUUAAGUCAGAGGUGAAAGCCCGGGGCUCAACCCCGGAACUGCCUUUGAGACUGGAUUGCUAGAGUCUUGGAGAGGCGGGUGGAAUUCCGAGUGUAGAGGUGAAAUUCGUAGAUAUUCGGAAGAACACCAGUGGCGAAGGCGGCCCGCUGGACAAGUA
rnacentral:rRNA from 1 species